rnacentral:tRNA from 1 species
UGGAUGGAUAGCUCAGUUGGUAGAGCAGAGGGCUGAAAAUCCUCGUGUCGUAGGUUCGAUCCCUACUCCGUCCACCAU